CUCAACACCAUAAAGGAUUUCUUCCUUCUGCCACGGCCUGAAAUCAUUAUGACCAACGCUUCCUAAUGAUAUCCUUGGGUGUCUCCACUUAAGCCACAAAGACUUCUCUCAAAUGUGCCAAAUCAAAGGGCCUACUGCUUACAGUGCUGACUAAGCUGUUUAAUUCUUUGGCAAUGUUCCUCUGAGACCCAGCAACAGAUUCCCAGUAAGAACCAACCAUCUAUCUGAUUUUCUGAGUUUACCUGAUUUUUAUGAAUGUUUCACCAUCCAGGAUAUUUUACCACAGAACCAGCUCACAGCAGCACAUAAGCUAAUGAAGAAACGGUGAUUCUCAA